AACUAGCCUUUGUAUAUUGUAACUUUACUCAGGUUUCACCAAUUUUUUCCCAACCUACUUUUACUAUUUCAGGAGUCCAUUGAGGUUUCCACUUCGUAUUUAAUCAUCAUGUCUCCUCAGGCUCCUCUUGGCUGUGACAGUUUAUUAGAAUUUCCUUGUCCUUUCUAAUUAUGACAGUUUUGAGAAGCACUGAUGAGGUUUUUAAUUUUUGUUUUUUGUUUUCCUGAAUAUAUCUCAAUUUUGAUUUUUCUGAUAUUUCUCUUUUUUCUUUUCGUUACUUUUCUUUUUGAGACAGGGUUUUGCUCUGUCACCCAGGCUGGAGUGGUGCCAUAGCACAAUCUUGCCCCACUGCAACCUCUGUCCCUCCCAGCUGAAGAGAUCCUCCGACCUCAGCCUCCCAAGUAGCUGGGACCACAGGCAUGCACCACUAUGCCCAGCUAAUUUUUUUGUAUUUUUAGCAAAGACAGGGUCUCCCCAUGCUGCCCAGGCUGGUCUUCAACUCCUGACCUCAAGCAACCUGUCUGCCUCGGGCUCCCAAAGUUCUGGGAUUACAGUUAUGAGCCACUGAGCCCAGCCUGACUGAUGUUUUUCAAAUGGUUAGACCAGGGUAAUGGGUUUUACUGAACAAACCCCAGAGAGGUAAAGUGCCAUUCCCGGAACACCCACUUAUUUUUUUAAAGAUAGAAUUAGAUUUUCCCAAAGCUUUUGAAACAUUUUUUCUGUGAUUUCACUUCCUAAUUAAAAUUCAAAGUCUAUUAUAACACAUUGAUAUCAACAAGGCUGCCAUGACCUUUUUCAUCAAGAACUUUUUGAAUCUGGAGUUGUGACUCUUUACCUCAGCAGUGAUAUUAUUUCUCUCCGAUGGAGAAACUUAACUGCUGCAGUGCUGUGUGUAAGUCCUAAUUCAACUAUGAGAAGAUGACUGAAGGAAAUACAAAUUCAAAAUGACUGAAUGAUACAGACGCUACCCUGGGUGACCAUCUGACAUUCACUCUCAAUUUUUGUUCACUGUGCCUACCUCCCACUUUCAGGGUGUAAAGGUCAGCUCCUCACUUUCCCAGCCACUUUUGCAUUUGAUUCACUGCUGGCCUACAAGGCGAAAGCUAUCUCUUGGGGUAUUCUAGGAAAUAAACAGUUUCUCCUAGAUAAGAGGCAAGAGGCAUGGCAGAAAAGCCCUACUCUCACCCAUUCUGAUGUGGAUGUGUGAAGAUGAGUGAAUUGAAACUGUUUCAGCUAUGAGGCAACAGCCUAAUAUGAAAACCCAAAUGCUGAGAAUGAGAAAACAGAAGAUGGAAAGAGAAAGAGCCCAGAUUCUAGAAGAUCUCAUGGAGCCAGAAAAUUAAUCUUAGGACCACUACAUGAACUCUUGAUAUCCCUGCUAGUCAUCAGAUUUGCAGCCCAAAGCAUCCUUACAUGGAUCAAUAUUUGGCAUUUCUCAUGUUAACUUAGAGAAGAUAAAUUGGUAAAACACAGACAUGUUUUGUUUUGCCUACACAAUUUUAAAAAGAAAGCUGGUCUUCUCUUUAAAAUCAGUCAGUUUUACAGAAAAAUAAAUUCUCCCUCCCUUUGAAAGAUCAGCAAAUCUGGCAACACGUGGAUCACAGGUAUAACUGCCAACAAUUACCUGGAACUAGGUAGCAACUGCCACUUUCAGAUGUGACCUGUGCUCUGCUCUUCAGCUCUUGUAGGCAUCUGUGAAAAACCCUUAAUAUCAGGCUUUAAGACAAAUUUCUAUGGAUGCCCCUUUUGACUUUCUUUUCAAUUUUGCAUAAGAAGAAUGAUCUUUAAUUUUGGAAGAAUACACCCAAUGAAAAUAAUAGAAACAUCACUCUGACAAAUUUUCAACCCCUUUGUGAUACUAUAUCUCCUUCUUUUCUCUUCCUCUUUUCCCUGCCUUCUGGCCUCCCACAGAGCUACUGAGGAAAAACGAGUUAAGAUUAGCUUUCCAACUAACAUUUCUAAGGUGUUUUACUUAAGCAAGAAGCUCCUGUAGUCAGUCAGGAAAAAAUUUAAACUCUUCAUAAAUCUAUUUACCCGCUCUAGAAAUGCACCCAACUCAUUAUUUUAAAUGGAUCCUAACAAGAAUUUACAGUUUAAGUUUCCUAACUAAAGAAGUGCAAUGCAUACUUAUAAAACAUGUUCCAGUGGUGGAUGCACAAACGUGACCCUUGGAUUAUAGCUUUUUUUAAUGGGGCAUUUUCCAUAUCACCAAAAAGAAUGAGAGUGGGGAGACUGUCCAGCAAAAUGUGCUGAGCCAUCAAUGAAAUUUCUAUGAUUGGGAAGAUAAAUAUGAUGUCAUUAUUGAUAAAGCUAUUUGAUAGGAGGAAGGCUAGGUUUGUUAUUGCUUCCACAAAGAGUAAGCACGACACUUUUUUUAAGUGAAAUUCUUGAGACUUGCCUCAAUAUAGAAGCAUCAUCUUCAACAUCAUUUCCUGACCUCAGCAGAGGCCUCCUUGCAGCAAACCCUCCAGUGCAUCAGCUACAGAGGUCAGAAACACACAACACAGGAAAUGUGAAAAAAUGGGACGGCGCAGUGGCUCAUACCUGUAAUCCCAGCACUUUGGGAGGCCAAGGCCGGUGAACCACCUGAGGUGAGAAGUUUGAGAUCAGCCUGGCCAACAUGGUGAAACCCCAUCUCUACCAAAAAUACAAAAAAAAAAAAAAAAGAAGAAGAAAAAAAGAAAAUCAGCCGGGCGCCAUGGCAUGCACCUGUAAUGUCAGCUACUCAGGAGGCUGAGGUGGGAGAACUGCUUGAACCCGGGAGGUUGAGGCUACAGUGAGCUAAGAUUGUGCCACUGCACUCCAGCCUGUGCGAGAGAGCAAGGCUCUGUCUCGAAACAAACAAACAAAACACACACACACACACACACACACACACACACACAUACACACACAAAACAAGUGGGGCAGGCCAGAAGUUAGUGCCUAAGCAAACACCCUGUGGUUGGUGGAACUUGAGGAAAGGGAACACAGCCUGUUCAAAGGGGAUUUUGCCAGUGAGCUGUAGCUGCAUGUUACAGGCAGGUUUGUGAGACAGGUUGUAGUUUCACACACCUAUAACAUGUCUCUAGUCUUAUUUAAUUUUCCGAUGAGAAUAUUUUUUGACAUUUGUAAUAAUCUAACCUGAUGUUUAGUACACUAUAAGAAAUAGGGAUGGCUAUGAGCAGGACUUUUACACAAAGUGGUCUCUGUUAUUCCAAUAAUGAUUCCCAUGAAACAAGUUGGUUAGUUUUGGUUUGCUUUUUACUUUGUCUCAAAGAUCAGCAUUUAUUAUUUUCAAAAGCUAUUUCUUACUUAAUUUCUAAUCUCUCUCAAACUACCACUUUUUAAAAGAAAGUUUUCCCACUUUAAUUACAAAUACUCUUUAGGAGGGUCCCAUACAUUCAUUACAGUUUUCUCUAAAAUCAUAAUAUAAAGCAAGUUGUCCUGAAUGGGAUCAUAUGUUUCCAUAAAAAUCAUGUUAUAAUGGGGAGGAGGAUAAACCAUCUAAUAAAUCAGUCAUAACAAAAAAAAUCAUAAUAAUAAAUAUAACAAAAACCUGCUAUACAUUCAUUUCCAUGGUAAAAUUAUGCUUCUAAUCAUAUAAAAUGAGCAUAAAUGUAUUACAAUAAUCUAUAUCUAUAUAUAGAUAUAUGUAUUGAUUAUACAAAAGGCCUCAAUAUAUCUAUAAGUCUGUCUCUCUCUAUAUAUAUUUGGCUGAACACAUAAAACUAUAUCGUAAAAUUGACCUAAAACUCAUGUAAGACCUGCAAUAAAUAUUAAUUGAUAAUUCAAUAAUUCUGUUUGAUUUCAUAGCAUUUAGAAGUGCUUUGGGACAGAUACAAUUUGGAUACUUAUAAAUUGUCUCAAGAAAUAUGUCACAAAGGUUUGAUUGGUAUAGUGCUUUCCCUUUGAAAGUUUUUCUUUUAAUAAGCAGAAACAUUCUCUCUGUGACGUUGCUUCCCUCAAGGACUGCAAAGGUCUCCAGUUCUUAUUUAUUGUCCUUGUUAUAUUUGUUCUUGUGUUUGCUGCUGCUGAUGAUGACGAUAAAAAAAAAUUGUUUUUUUCUGUCUCUUUGGUUCAAGUUUUCAGAUUUCCAGAGAAAAAAUUUUUAAUAAAAUCCUAUAGGUAAUCCCAUUAUUUAAAAAUACACACCAAAUGUAUUUAUUAGAAAUGUAUUUUUAUAAGCUCAAGUUAAAAAAUGUUACUUAUUACAAAUUCAAUCAGUGAGAAUACUAGGUAUAUGAAGCUGAACACAAAAAUGUGAAAACAGAAACAGUGAAUAACACUUGCAGUGUUACAGCAACUUUGGCAUCCAAUUUGUUUCCAGGCUAUUUAUCUGGCAGCACAUUAUUAGAAAAAUACAAAUAUACAGAGAUGAAAAUGCCAAUAGUUCAAUAAAAUAAUAGCUUAUAAUCUCAGGAUUUUAAAUUAAACUUAUUCACAAUCUUAAAGGAAGAUGAGUAUCUUUUUGUUAAAAAAUGAAUAACAAAUUUAAACUAUAAAAACCACUUACAUUCCACUAGUCUAUACAUUAUAUAGAAUACUACACACACAUAUACCCCUAUAAACAGUUACCUCAAAAUUAAAAAGGAGUCUGGGCCUGAGAAAUUCCUGAACAAACAAAACCAACUAGGCCUGAAAAAACAGCCUUAACCCUGCUUAAACUGCAAACAUAAGCGAAACAACUCAGGUCACUUCUGGUACAUGCCCAUGUUAGACAAAAAGAAAAUAUAACCUCAGCCCAUCAUAAGAGGCCAGUUAACUUAUAGUUCUGUAACUAGAAAUUUUCUGACAAAGUAAACCAAAAAGGACAAUUGUAUAAUUGCGACCAAUCAUAUAGUUUAUUCAUCUUGCUUCUAUAUCCACCCCAUAUAUACUUGCCUCUGACACUGUCGUUGGAACACUAAAUUUAGUUUGCUGUUUCUCAGUUCAUGAAUGGCUGCUUACUCAAAUAAACUCUUUAAAAUUUGUUCCUCAGAUGUUUCUUUUACAGUAUAUUAAGAUGUUAUUACUACACCAUACACGUGCUUGCAUCCUAUGAAGAUCCUCCAGGUAGAGGCUUAAAAAUAUUUAAGGCUUUGUUGAACACUCUCAAGCAUUUCAUAAAUUAUUGAUAACCCACUAUACCAACCACCAAGUCAUUAUUUGUAAAGACAAAUAAAAUAAUAUGUGUGGCAAAAUUGCACAAUAUAGACAUGACUGCUUAUAUUUUGUUGUCUUUAUUUUAUGCUUGUGCAAAUCCCACAAUGUUGGUACUCUUGAAGAAAUGGAUAUAAGUGGUAAAAUUGGCCAUUAACUGUAUCAAAUGAUUCAAGUUACAAUGCGUAAAGGAGCAAAUGAAAGGAAUUCCUAGCGUUUCACUUACAUUAUGGGUUAAAUAGAAUUUUGUGAUCUAAUCUGAGACAUGAGACACAAACACAAAAUAUACAUUCAAAAAUGUUGCUGAUGGUUCUGUUGAUUAAUAAUAUUGUUUAUUUGUGAAAAUGUGAUUUAAGAGCCAAAUAAUGCUUCUGCACAUGAACUUUUGUGUAAAGCCUAAUUAUAAUUUUAGAACCUCUCUUAUUAUCCUAGUUGUUAUAUCUACUUUAAAACAUUGCUUCCUAAAACUAAAGUAUUUGACAUUAAAACUUUUUUUAAAAUUUUAUCAUUAAUUUUUGGUAUGUUAAUGGUAGAAAAAGAUAAUGAAUGGUAAUAAAUGUUCAUAAAUUUAAAAUAUUUGUUAAAUGCCAGGAACUGUAUCAAAUAAAUAAAUGUUGUCUCACCUUACUAUAAUUGUCAUUUAAAAAAUAAGAAGACAGGGCUCCAAGGAAGUGUAGCUAUUUGUCCAAAGUCACAAUACCAUUCAGUGGCUAAGCUGUGACUUGGACCCGAGUCUGAUUACUCUAAGGUCUACCUUCUUUACAUUACAGUCUAUCUUCUCCAUGGGUAAAAAACAGAUCAUAAAAUGAGAACACUGUGGUACUUAGACUUCAUGAUUCCUUCUAGAUGGACUCCCUGGUGAGUCUUGAAAAUGAUUUGGAACUGAUAGACACUGCAGUAAGUUAGACCUCUGCACCAAGGGAUUUUCCAUGUUCUUUCAUCCUCCAGUCUAGAAAUGAUCCUCUCUUAUAUGUUACUCAAAUUCCCUAAAUUUACAUUACUUUAAUUAAUCAAUUUUUUCUGAGACGAGGUCUUGUUCUGUUGCCCAGCCUGGAGUGCAGUGGCACUAAUGUAGCUCACUGCAGACUCAAACUCCUGGGCUCAAGCAGUCCUCCCACUUUGGCAUCUCACAGUGCUGGGAUUACAGACGUGAACCACAGUGCCUGGCCCUGAAUUUACUUUUAAUAUGAUACACUAUAAUUGUCUAUCUAUACACUUUUCUCUUUUGCCAUAAGACUGUGAAUAAUUUGAGGGCAAAAAUGUUUGGUCUUUUAUCUUUAUAUCACCAAUGCUUAGUUAAGUGUUUGUCUUACUACAUAGCAGAAAGCCUGCUUGAUGGUCAAUAAAUGUUUGAAAUGAAUGAAUGAACAAAAACUCUGGAACUGUUACCUUAAUUCUAGACCAGUCUCUGACUAAAUAAACAAGAUAAAGUGUCAAAAAUCAAUUUUACUUACUAUUUAGUUUAUUAAGAGACAUCAAAUUUUUCUUGCUACUUCUACUUUCUCCUUGUAGAUUACUGAUUCCCUUUGCUCAAGGAUUUCAUGAAGGUUAGUGCAAUAAUAUUAAAAAAUGUUCAGAGUUCCUUGAAAAAAGCCUUAAAACGAAAGUAAGUUAUAAUGGUUCUUAUUUUAUGCAAAGAGGUAUAGAGGGUACAUUUCUUAUGUUUUAUGCUUUUUAAAAAAUAUGGAUAGCUUAUUUCUUCUGGAUUAAAAACAGGCAACAGUAUCUAAAACAAUUCAAUUAUUCAAGAAAGGAAACAUAUUUUCCUUUCUUCUCUUAAAAUUUAAAAUCAUCACCAUGUAAUGCAAUUAAGC
rnacentral:lncRNA from 1 species